UGAGGAAUAUUGGUCAAUGGGCGCAAGCCUGAACCAGCCAUCCCGCGUGCAGGAAGACGGCGCUAUGCGUUGUAAACUGCUUUUCCAGGGGGAGAAACUUGCGCACGUGUUGCGCAAUUGACGGUACCCUGGGAAUAAGCAUCGGCUAACUCCGUGCCAGCAGCCGCGGUAAUACGGAGGAUGCGAGCGUUAUCCGGAUUCAUUGGGUUUAAAGGGUGCGCAGGCGGACUAUUAAGUCAGUGGUGAAAUCCUGCAGCUUAACUGCAGAACUGCCAUUGAUACUGAUAGCCUUGAGUUUGGUUAAGGUAGGCGGAAUGUGUAAUGUAGUGGUGAAAUGCUUAGAUAUUACACAGAACACCAAUUGCGUAGGCAGCUUACUGAGCCGACACUGACGCUGAGGCACGAAAGCGUGGGGAUCGAACAG
rnacentral:rRNA from 1 species